rnacentral:lncRNA from 1 species
CGGUGUCGGUCCCAUUGGAGUAAGAUAUUCUUUCAUUCCGUUUCUUAUGAUUUCACACCUGAUCCAAGCAAAAAGAAAUAGGUAAAUCUAACAUCUGCCAUAUCUGUACUGUUAGCUUAUGAAGGCAGAGGUGUACCGCAUAGUUAGAAGAGCUCUUCAUGCAAACAAAGUGGUGCCUAAGUAUGUCUAUCCUGUGUUCAUACUGACGAAAACAAGUAGUAGCUGGGGUUGCUUUUCAGGUUUUACUUUUAUUAUAGUUCAGGUUCAUAUAGAAAAGUUCUGGGAUCUUCAGGAAGUAAGUUGCAUGUAGUUUCUCCACAUGAAGUCUGUUUAAUUUUCGG